AUCUAAAAGAAAUGAUAGCAUUAAAAAUUUUUCAGCUAAUGAAGAACAUGAAUGAAAGAAAUUAAGUAUCAGAUGUGAUAUAGCUCCUAUGUGUUUACACGUAACUUUUGGUAAUUUAAAAGGCAGAGUUAGUGAAGGUGAAAUGGAGACACAAAUCAGUUGAUUCUGAUUUUUGUGAACAGGUCUGGUAAAAAGUGGGAUUAAAAAAGAUGUUGAAUACAAGUAAUAAAAUGAAGUUUGAGUUUACUGUAUUCGUGCAUUUAUCACUAUGUCACUGAGAGCCCAAGUGCAUAACUGAGAUUUAUCCAAAGACCAGAAGAAACUUAUCAAUAACUAAUUAAGACCUAAAAGAAAUGUGCACUGUUUCAGGAUAUCUGCUCAAUGUUUUAGGAUCCCUCCCUUAAGAGGCUUACGAUUGUAACCAGGAAAACAAGUGCACUGCUCACAAUAGUAAAAAGGAAGGAGAGGGCUCUAAAAAUUGCUGGGCAAUUUCAAAGAAGAGAAGAUGACUGUGAAAGUAGAUGACGAGACUGUCAAAGGAACAGCUCCUGGAAUCUAGACUCUUCUCCAUUACUUCUUAGCUCUUGUCUCUGGUUGUGAUUUGGCUCAGCAGAAGAUGGACGAAGACCCUAUCAAUCG